rfam:Heligmosomoides polygyrus genome assembly, scaffold: HPBE_scaffold0000497
GCGCUGGUGGCGUAAGACGUAGCGUUUUUGCCCGGAAAGCAGAAGGUGCGGGUUCGAGUCCCGCCUGGCGCA